rnacentral:tRNA from 1 species
UAAGAAAUAGACUAAGUUAAAGUUAUUAAAUUCAUAAUUUAAAGAUAAAUAUUUUUUUUUCUUUA